rnacentral:tRNA from 1 species
UCCACUCUGCUGCUCAGUUGGUAGAGCAUGAGACUCUUAAUCUCAGGGUUGUGGGUUCAAGCCCCACGUUGGGUGAAA